GACGUAGGGGGCGAGCGUUGUCCGGAUUCAUUGGGCGUAAAGCGCGCGCAGGCGGCUCGGAUAGUCGGGUGUGAAAACCCGGGGCUCAACCCCGGGCCUGCAUUCGAUACUGCCGGGCUAGAGGCAGGUAGGGGAGAGUGGAAUUCCUGGUGUAGCGGUGAAAUGCGCAGAUAUCAGGAAGAACACCAAUGGCGAAGGCAGCUCUCUGGGACGGUACUGACGCUGAGACGCGAAAGCGUGGGGAGCGAACAGG
rnacentral:rRNA from 1 species